rnacentral:rRNA from 1 species
ACUCGAAGAGUAGGGCGGGACACGUGGUAUCCUGUCUGAAUAUGGGGGGACCAUCCUCCAAGGCUAAAUACUCCUGACUGACCGAUAGUGAACCAGUACCGUGAGGGAAAGGCGAAAAGAACCCCGGCGAGGGGAGUGAAAAAGAACCUGAAACCGUGUACGUACAAGCAGUGGGAGCACCUUCGGGUGUGACUGCGUACCUUUUGUAUAAUGGGUCAGCGACUUAUAUUCUGUAGCAAGGUUAACCGUAUAGGGGAGCCGCAGGGAAACCGAGUCUUAACUGGGCGUUAAGUUGCAGGGUAUAGACCCGAAACCCGGUGAUCUAGCCAUGGGCAGGUUGAAGGUUGGGUAACACUAACUGGAGGACCGAACCGACUAAUGUUGAAAAAUUAGCGGAUGACUUGUGGCUGGGGGUGAAAGGCCAAUCAAACCGGGAGAUAGCUGGUUCUCCCCGAAAGCUAUUUAGGUAGCGCCUCGUGAACUCAUCUUCGGGGGUAGAGCACUGUUUCGGCUAGGGGGUCAUCCCGACUUACCAACCCGAUGCAAACUACGAAUACCGAAGAAUGUUAUCACGGGAGACACACGGCGGGUGCUAACGUCCGUCGUGAAGAGGGAAACAACCCAGACCGCCAGCUAAGGUCCCAAAGUCAUGGUUAAGUGGGAAACGAUGUGGGAAGGCACAGACAGCCAGGAUGUUGGCUUAGAAGCAGCCAUCAUUUAAAGAAAGCGUAAUAGCUCACUGGUCGAGUCGGCCUGCGCGGAAGAUGUAACGGGGCUAAACCAUGCACCGAAGCUGCGGCAGCGACACUAUGUGUUGUUGGGUAGGGGAGCGUUCUGUAAGCCUGCGAAGGUG